ACGACUGCUAAGACUGGAUAGGAGACAAGAGGGCAUCUUCUUGUUUUUAAAAGACCUAGCGGUAGGUAUGCUUAGGGAGGAGCUUGCGUCACAUUAGUUAGUUGGUGGGGUAAAGGCCUAACAAGACUAUGAUGUGUAGCCGGGCUGAGAGGUUGAACGGCCACAUUGGGACUGAGACACGGCCCAAACUCCUACGGGAGGCAGCAGUAGGGAAUUUUCGGCAAUGGAGGAAACUCUGACCGAGCAACGCCGCGUGAACGAUGAAGUAUUUCGGUACGUAAAGUUCUUUUAUUAGGGAAGAAUAAAUGAUGGAAAAAUCAUUCUGACGGUACCUAAUGAAUAAGCCCCGGCUAACUAUGUGCCAGCAGCCGCGGUAAUACAUAGGGGGCAAGCGUUAUCCGGAAUUAUUGGGCGUAAAGGGUGCGUAGGCGGUUAAAUAAGUUUAUGGUCUAAGUGCAAUGCUCAACAUUGUGAUGCUAUAAAAACUGUUUAGCUAGAGUAAGAUAGAGGCAAGUGGAAUUCCAUGUGUAGUGGUAAAAUGCGUAAAUAUAUGGAGGAACACCAGUAGCGAAGGCGGCUUGCUGGGUCUUUACUGACGCUGAGGCACGAAAGCGUGGGGAGCAAACAGGAUUAGAUACCCUGGUAGUCCACGCCGUAAACGAUGAGUACUAAACGUUGGGUAAAACCAGUGUUGAAGUUAACACAUUAAGUACUCCGCCUGAGUAGUACGUACGCAAGUAUGAAACUUAAAGGAAUUGACGGGACUCCGCACAAGCGGUGGAUCAUGUUGUUUAAUUCGAAGGUACCCGAAAAACCUCACCAGGUCUUGACAUGCUUCUGCAAAGCUGUAGAAACACAGUGGAGGUUAUCAGUUGCACAGGUGGUGCAUGGUUGUCGUCAGCUCGUGUCGUGAGAUGUUGGGUUAAGUCCCGCAACGAGCGCAACCCUUAUUGUUAGUUACCAGCACGUAAUGGUGGGGACUUUAGCAAGACUGCCAGUGAUAAAUUGGAGGAAGGUGGGGACGACGUCAAAUCAUCAUGCCCCUUAUGACCUGGGCUACAAACGUGAUACAAUGGCUGUUACAAAGGGUAGCUGAAGCGCAAGUUUUUGGCGAAUCUCAAAAAAACAGUCUCAGUUCGGAUUGAAGUCUGCAACUCGACUUCAUGAAGUUGGAAUCGCUAGUAAUCGCGAAUCAGCAUGUCGCGGUGAAUACGUUCUCGGGGUUUGUACACACCGCCCGUCA
rnacentral:rRNA from 1 species